UGGGGAAUUUUGGACAAUGGGCGAAAGCCUGAUCCAGCAAUGCCGCGUGUGUGAAGAAGGCCUUCGGGUUGUAAAGCACUUUUGUCCGGAAAGAAAUCCUUGGCUCUAAUACAGUCGGGGGAUGACGGUACCGGAAGAAUAAGCACCGGCUAACUACGUGCCAGCAGCCGCGGUAAUACGUAGGGUGCAAGCGUUAAUCGGAAUUACUGGGCGUAAAGCGUGCGCAGGCGGUUUGCUAAGACCGAUGUGAAAUCCCCGGGCUCAACCUGGGAACUGCAUUGGUGACUGGCAGGCUAGAGUAUGGCAGAGGGGGUAGAAUUCCACGUGUAGCAGUGAAAUGCGUAGAGAUGUGGAGGAAUACCGAUGGCGAAGGUAGCCCCCUGGGCCAAUACUGACGCUCAUGCACGAAAGCGUGGGGAGCAAACGGGAUUAGAUACCCUGGUAGUCCACGCCCUAAACGAUGUCAACUAGUUGUUGGGGGAUUCAUUUUCCUUAGUAACGUAGCUAACGCGUGAAGUUGAUCGCCUGGGGAGUACGGUCGCAAGAUUAAAACUCAAAUGAAUUGACGGGGUCAUAGCUG
rnacentral:rRNA from 1 species